GCCAAAAAAGAAAAAAAAAUACAUAUAUUUUUUUAAAAAAGCAUCAGCUGACAAAUGAAUACACACCUGUGUCCCUAUGGGCCCACAUGCACCCACACACACCUCAAAGGAAAAAGAAGAUGUGACCAAAAAGAGUAUUCAUCUCACUAUUAUUGAACCGUUUCUGUAGGCUUGAAAUUUUUCCAAAUAGAAGAGUUGUGGAAUAAGGGGGUUGCAUGCAGUAUGUGGAACGUGAGCCUGCGGAACAGCACAAUGAAUGCAACAGGGGGUUCUUUUUGAUUUUCCUCCUGUCUCUGUCAUGGGCUCAGGAUGGCCUCUGUCUAGGCCCUAGGAAACUGCCUCUUCUCCACAGGAGCCAGCCCCCUGCGUCCCCACAGGGCUCACCGCCUGGAUUGCAGUGCAGAGCCCACCUGCCCACCCAGGUGCAUCCCCAGCCAGCAUUUUCAGGAUCUGCAGAAGCCCACUUUCAGGGUUGCCAGGUUUAGGAAAUAAAAAUACCAAACACCCAGUUAAAUUAGAAUUUAAGCAAUAAAUAAUUGUUUUAGGGUACGUAUAUCUCAAGUAGUGCAUGGAACAUAACUUGGACUGAAAAACAAAGAAUUGUUGUUAAUCUGAGAUUCAAACAGGACGUUCUGUAUUUUACCUAGUAGCCCUACCCCCCCAUCUCCCUCUCACCCCACAACCGGAGGUCAAGGUCACCCAGGAGACAGAGUCUUAAGAACAGAGGACAGGCCUCUCAGUCCCCAGGCAAGGUUUGCAAACUGCCACAGUGACCUUGGGCCCUCUGUCCCAUGACGCAAGCAGGUGCAUACAGGGGCAGCUGGCCGAAAGGGGACAGAGCCAUGGGCUGCAGGGAGAGGACAGCUUCCAUGUGCUUCUCUCACCCCAGCCACACCUGGGCACUCCUGGCGCUGGGCGCCUCCUCCCCCACCCUCCCAGCUCUUCUCCCUGCUCCUCCCUCCUUCGCAGAGCCAGGCAGCCUCACAUGCAGCCCAGUGGGCUCACCGAUUACUGGCUGGGUGCAUUUGGGCAAUAAAUGAUCUCACCUAUCUCAGUUUCCCCAUCUGUCGGAUACAGGUAAUAACAGCUAGCACCUUCCUCAAGGCCUGGUUACCUGGAUUAACUCCGCUAGUAUUGGCCAAGCACUCCCGACACUGCCUGAGAAGUAGUAAACCCUAUAGAAGUGUUUGUUAAAUAAAGAAUCCACUUGUGGAGGAGGGCUGGGGUCUCUCCCUGUGCCCCGCAGGGCGCAGCCCAGACUGGUAGGGGCUGUGCCCCAGAGUGAGUUUGGUAACAAUGUGCUCAAUCCUCCAGCCUCAUUUAUCUUUCUUUUUUUUCAGUGUUAUUGAAGUGUAGUUGACUUAUCAUGUUAUAUUAGUUUCAGAUGUACAGCAAAGUGACUCCAUUAAACAUAUACGGAGAUCCAUUCUUUUUUCCAGUGCUUUACAGCAGGUUCCCGCCUCAUCUGUCUAUUCUGUACGUAGUAGUAGGUAUAAGCCAAUUCCAUCCCCCCAACUUAUCCCUCCCCCCACAGCUUUCCCUUUGGUACCAAUAAGUUUGAUUUUGAAAUCUGUGAGUUUGUUUUAUAAAUCUGUUCUUUCAUAUCAUUUUUAUUAGAUUCCACAUAUAAGUGAGAGCAUAUGGUAUUUGUCUUUCUCUGCCUGACUUAUCUUAGUAUGAUGACCUUUAGGUCCGUCCAUUGGACCUAAUGUUGCUGCAAAUGGCUUUAUUUCAUUCUCUUUCAUGGCCGACUCUCCAUCCAUAUCUUGUUGGGCACUUGCAGAUGUGCAUUCGGGAUGCGGAGGCCGGGGCGGGCAGCUGGAGGAGCAGCUAUGCCUCCCAACCCCACUCAUUACCACCCAGGGACCCAGAACUGGGGAAAACUGGCUCACUUUGGGAAGCACACCUCAAGAACGCUCCCAUCGCCAUGGUGUUUUACUCACGGUGUCGCCUUUGCCCUUCGAAGCCUUUUCCUUCCAGGCAGGGCCUCCCUCUCUCUCUGUUUGCUUUAGUUUUCAGUUUUAUCCCGUGGCUUCCUCUCCUCCAUUUUGACUUAGGCUCCUUCACCUUGUUCUUUGAAAAGGAAAAAAGUCACUCCCCGUGGUGUCCAGGGAAGCUGAGGGAUAUACUUGGGGCAGGUCAGCUAGUCUCCAGCCAGCCCUCCAAGGAAGCAGUGGUGGUGGCACAUUGUUUCAGGGUCAGGGGCUGGCCUGAGCCUUGUGUCCCCCAGUGGAUGGGACUCUAGGAGCCAAGAGAUGGGGGCCACAGUGACUGUCACCCACAGCCCUCUGCAGGGAAUGAUGCUUAAAAGGAAAGAGCCCGUUUCUUUAGGCACCAGGAGAAAGGCCUCACCUGCCUCUCCCUGACAGCCCACAGGCCCGUCGCCUCAUGGGUUUACUCUUGUUCUAGCUCUUGGGCGUGGGGGGUGGGGGGGGGCAAAGGCCCCUAUACUGUGUCUGGGCCCCUGCCUUUUCUCUUGCUCACUCCUGUUCCACUGCAUUGUCAUCUUCCUCUCAGCCUCGUGAGGGUCUGACCCACGCAAACACUGAAACUUCCAAAUGACGUCUGCACUUGGAUCAGGAAGUGAAGGACAGGGCUGGCCAAGUGGACAAGUCCGGGCACAGGUGCCUCUCGGUUGACAGAUGUAUUUCUAUUCAUCACCAGAGCAAUUACAUAGUUUAACAUCCUAUUUGUGCUGGGGGACCAGAAAUGGCCCUCCAGUGGGAUGUGCCUGAAAGGAUAACAUUUGAUGCAGAUGUUGGGAUGCAUCAAAAUGGGCUGGGCAAAUUUAAAAAUCAUCUUUCAAAAGUGAGUAAUGAAUGUGCCACUCCUCCCCUUCCUGAGCCUCCUCUGUUCCUCGGAGCCGUGCUGGGGGUCUGAGUUUCAAGGGCAAUGUAUGAGAUGGUGGGGCUUUUGGAAGGGGUAAGGUUAUCUGCUCACCCAUUCCCUUAAAAACAUCAUAGCUGAUUUUUUUUAAUGUGAUAAAAUAUUCUCUCAUCAAAGUAGUCGUAUCAAAACAGCAGUGUCAAAAUAUCAUGCCCCCCCUCCACUUUUCAGAUUGUAGCUUUCAAGCUCGACUUGUUAUUAUGUGGUUAAUUUAACCUGAAAUUUAAAUUUAAUAAGGCUUCCAAAGAGAAUGUAACCAAAUGACAGAAUUCUCUUGCAUUGUGGACAUAUAUGAGUGUGUGUGUGUGUGUGUGUGUGUGUGUGUGUGUGUGUGUGUGUGUGUGUGUAUGGGCUCCUCCCUCCCUCCUUCCUUCCUUUCUUCCUUCCUUCCUCUUUUCUUUCUUCCCCCCUUCAGUUCUACAUGUUGAAUGUCACUUGAUGUUGGCCCGUUAGCCAUUUACAGUGAUGUUUUAUGCACAUCCUAAUGAACCAGAUACCAUUCUACAAACACUUUAAAUAUUGACAAAUUGAUUUAGUAAUGAUAAUCUAAGGUGUUGCUUGUCCAGAUUCAGCACAAAGAAGAAUAUCUUUUUUCCAGAUGUCUCUAGGUGUUGCUGGCCAGUCUACUGCAUAGAGAGAAAACAGGGGAGAUAAACUGCCAUAUAGUACAGGGCACAUCAGAACAUCAGAGUUCCUCUUUUUGGAACAUGUUUUGACUGAAGCUUAAUUCACCCUCUAAAGGAAUGUAAAAGAGAUUCUUUACCUAUAGCAUAUAUUUGGCAACACUUUGAAUUUUAAUAUUAACCUGAGCAACGGAGACACAACUACAUCUGGCUGCAUAUUAAUGUCACCGAUCACACGUUUUAGUCAUAGAAUUUGCCCUCUCCCUGCUUCUCAAUGAGAAGCCCAUAGACAGUAAUUAAGCCAUUAUAAAAAUACAAUAGGACAUAACAUAAUAGAACCAUCCUGCUGUCAAGGCACACAGAGCAGGGAAAUCAGGGGAACACAAAGGAACACAAUACGUCCAAUUUAGCCCUGCUGCGGAAAUGUCACAAACCAGUGCCCUCCAAAGGCUAAGGAGGGGGGAACGUGAUUUCCACAGACCACUGGGCAUUCACUCUUAAUUUUCAGACAAUAACAAACCAACCAGCAGACUAACCAAUCAACCAAAAAAACCAACCAAUCAAGCAACAAGCAGUUGUCCACAGUAGAGUGAAGAAUAGAAGGCCCCAUCUUUGUACUCAAGAGGUUUACAAUCCUUUGGGGAGUAAAGGCUUAAAAUAAAAAUGCAGCCUGACAGUGGUUCAGGAUAUAUCACAAGAAAGAUGAGAUUAAGCAAAUAAUAUAGAAAGCACAUUAUAUCCACUCCAAGGAAGAGGUGACCAUGCCACAGAAACACUGGGGAAACCUUUACUUGAGGAGGUGGGACUUGAACUGGACCUAAAAUAAUGUGGCACAUUUGGAUAGCCAGAGAGGAGAAAGGAAAUGGUAUGAAAAAGACAAAUAUGUCUGGAAAGCCAGACCUUCAAGAAAAUGGUUAUAUGCAAGUAUUGGGCACAGGAGUUCAUGAAAUAAAAUAUCAGACAAUUAAGCUGUGGGUAGUAAAACAUGUAGAUACAAUAUACAUAUGAUCCAAUCCAUAAAAGAAAUUCAUAUGUAGCAGAGAAAAAAGACUAGAAGGAAAUACAUCAAAUGUUAAUAUUGCUUUUUUUAAUGGGAGAUAAGAAUAUGGGGGAUUUUUAUUUUUUUCUUUGAACUUUUCUAUAUUCUCAAUCCUAAUCUAAAUAAUAAAAUUGCUACAAUAAAAUAAAAACAAAAGGAGACAGAACAAAUCUCAAAAUAUAUUUUUUAAAGGCCUCCGUAUACAAAUUUUACAUUCUAUAAUUCAGUCAUCCAUAGAUUCCUAGGCAGAGUGUGCUGCAAGAGUUAUAUGGGAUUUCCCUGGUGGCCUAGUGGUUAAGGAUUCAGGGUUGUCUCUGCUGUGGCUCAGGUUUGAUCCCUGGCCAGGGAGUUUCCAUGUGCCAUGG
rnacentral:tRNA from 1 species